CUGCUGAUGCGGCAGACGUACUCGCCGGAGUGGGCGGAGGAGACCUGCGGGAUGCGGAGGCGAGUGCCCGAGACCUGUCAAGGAGAGGGAGGGGCCUGCCACAUGCCACAACGGGCACCUACUGGAUGAGCCGCCUGAGCUGCUGGAAAUGGACACCAUGAUGGACGUCUCCAGUCGGCUGGUGCCAUCGUUCGCGUAGCAGACGUACUCGCCCGAAUCGGCUGCCGAAACUUGCGAGAUCCGGAGGCGGGUUCCAAAAAUCUGUUGCCGAGGGAAAAAAAGCAGACAACGAAGAGCUGAUUUCUUUUACCAACUGAAGCCAUUUUCCACUCCCACCCUCCUUGGAUUUCCCAAAGCCCCGAUGUCAAGGUCCAGCGUGAGAAUCCAAAUAAAACUCCAGGUUCAUUCUGUUCCCGAAAAUCUUGCUGUUUAUUGAAUACACUGCAUGGUAACGUCGAAGUAAAACUAACUCUGAGGUUCCCAAACACCAGUUGAUAGAAUUAAACAAUAAUUUUCCCAGCCAAACCCUCGACCUCUCACAUUGUCCUCGCUUAGUUAUGGGAACCGUCUGCUUCAACCCUACACCUGUUAUGAUGUCCUUGAGAAGGUUUCAGGCUCUCACAGUCUUCAGCGGAAUCGCAAAGUUUCUCCAUCUAACACAUUCUAAACCAACACCUCCCUCCCCACUCUAAUGGUAAGUUGAAACGAAGAGGCACACAGCUGUUAAAGUUUCAUCCUUGACACUCGGUUUCCAUUUCUUAAGCCCCCAAAUAUUACGCCAAGGCAUUUCAGGAGAUCCCUCAUCACAAGACCAAAAAUGCAUAACACACAUUCUGAAAAAAUAAUGUCUGGAUAAUCCAGUUUGCCCAUAAUCACAAGCCCGCUUCCUUUCCAUCAGCCUCCCUCUGCAGCCUCUGGGUCUCCCAAAGCCCACCUUUGCUCAAAUGCUGCGGGAAUCUCUGCCACGUCCCCUUACCUGACUGUGGACGGGCAGGGCGCCCUCGCGCUUGUACCACAUCACCCUGGCUUGGGACUGACCGGCCACCAGGCAGUUCAGGUCCAAGGUCUGCCCCUCGGAGAUGACUGAGGAGGGGGUUUCAAUCCUGAUCGGGGGAGUGACGCCCACAGCUGGAAGAGCCAGGAGGAAGGAGAAAACAGGGAACCUGUCAAGAUCCGAAGCGUACUCAUGCUGCUUUCAUUUUUACUGCUUCUCAGCUUGCCAAUGAACAAUGGGGGGAGGGAAGGGAGAAUUGGAAUGUGGAUUGUAACCAUCAAGCACUCAGCCCGUGAGAACCAAGGUCACUUCAGCAGGUGCUUGCCAGACCUUCCAGAGCAACUUCUCAUAACAAUAUUGUGACACUUAAUUGGACAAUGUGUCCUGCACUAUUGGAGGGAGGGAGGAAUCUAUACUUCAAUUAUAUUGAAUUGCGCGGGAAAUUAGCCAGAGCUGAUUUUGCUUUCAUUCUGUGCCGAAAUGAUGUACACAAUAAAGUUUUGCAUUGAGAUCCAAA